rnacentral:rRNA from 1 species
CGGUAAUACGGAGGGUGCAAGCGUUAAUCGGAAUUACUGGGCGUAAAGCGCGCGUAGGUGGCUUGAUAAGCCGGUUGUGAAAGCCCCGGGCUCAACCUGGGAACGGCAUCCGGAACUGUCAAGCUAGAGUGCAGGAGAGGAAGGUAGAAUUCCCGGUGUAGCGGUGAAAUGCGUAGAGAUCGGGAGGAAUACCAGUGGCGAAGGCGGCCUUCUGGACUGACACUGACACUGAGGUGCGAAAGCGUGGGUAGCAAACAGGAUUAGAUACCCUGGUAGUCCACGCCGUAAACGAUGUCGACCAGCCGUUGGGUGCCUAGCGCACUUUGUGGCGAAGUUAACGCGAUAAGUCGACCGCCUGGGGAGUACGGCCGCAAGGUUAAAACUCAAAUGAAUUGACGGGGGCCCGCACAAGCGGUGGAGCAUGUGGUUUAAUUCGAUGCAACGCGAAGAACCUUACCUACUCUUGACAUCCUGCGAAUUUGGUAGAGAUGCCUUAGUGCCUUCGGGAACGCAGAGACAGGUGCUGCAUGGCUGUCGUCAGCUCGUGUUGUGAAAUGUUGGGUUAAGUCCCGUAACGAGCGCAACCCUUGUCCUUAUUUGCCAGCGCGUAAUGGCGGGAACUCUAAGGAGACUGCCGGUGACAAACCGGAGGAAGGUGGGGACGACGUCAAGUCAUCAUGGCCCUUACGAGUAGGGCUACACACGUGCUACAAUGGUCGGUACAAAGGGUUGCCAACUCGCGAGAGUGAGCCAAUCCCGAAAAGCCGAUCUCAGUCCGGAUCGGAGUCUGCAACUCGACUCCGUGAAGUCGGAAUCGCUAGUAAUCGUGGAUCAGAAUGCCACGGUGAAUACGUUCCCGGG